GGCAACGGCAAUAUCGAGAUCAUCGAAGUCAUUCAGGUUGCAAAGCUCUUCCCACCCUUGUGAUGUCACAAGGGUGAACUUGACGCCAGCGACAGACGAUAAAUCACGAUGAUAGUAGGCCUACACGAAUAUCUAUAUUAAUUAUUGCAAGUCCAUAUAAUAUUAAUGGCGAUUCUCCAAGAAAUAUUCUGUUUUACCAAGUAUUAAAUUUUAAUAUCUAUAGAACGG